rnacentral:tRNA from 1 species
UGCCCCGUGGCUGAGUUGGUUACAGCGUCCGACUGUUACUUCCAAGACAUCGGAAGGUCGUGAGUUCGAGCCUCACCGGGGCAG